AACGAACGCUGGCGGCAUGCCUAACACAUGCAAGUCGAACGAGAACACCGGGUCUUGUGGCCUCUGGGUGUGUAACGCGUGGGAACCUGCCCUUAGGUUUGGCAUAACUCUCCGAAAGGGGUGCUAACACCGGAUAAUGUCUUCGGACCAAAGAUUUAUUGCCUCGGGAUGGGCCCGCGUUGGAUUAGCUAGUGGGAAGGGUAAAAGCCUACCAAGGGGACGAUCCAUAACUGGUCUGAGAGGAUGAUCAGCCACCCUGGGACUGAGACACGGCCCAGACUCCUACGGGAGGCAGCAGGGGGGAAGAUGGGACAAUGGGCGAAAGACGGAGCCAGCAAGACCGCGAGAGUGAUGAAGGCCUUAGGGUUGUAAAGCUCUGUUACCCGGGAUGAUAAUGACAGUACCGGGAGAAUAAGCUCCGGCAAACUCCGU
rnacentral:rRNA from 1 species